UACGGGGGGGGCAAGCGUUGUUCGGAAUUACUGGGCGUAAAGGGUUCCUAGGCGGCUGAGAAAGUCGGAUGUGAAAGCCCCAGGCUCAACCUGGGAAAGCCAUUCGAAACUGCUCUAGCUAGAGUCCGGUAGGGGCGCAUGGAAUACCCGGUGUAGCGGUGAAAUGCUUAGAUAUCGGGUGGAACACCAGUGGCGAAGGCGGUGCGCUGGGCCGGAACUGACGCUGAAGAACGAAAGCGUGGGUAGCAAACAGG
rnacentral:rRNA from 1 species